UAUAUUGAUACACAUACUUCAGAAAAGCUGUAAAAUCUCUGUAAUAUUGUGUAAGAAGUAACCCGAUUAAUCAUGAUGCCUCUAUUGCUGUUAACAAUGAAACAAAUUCUGGAACAGAAACAAAAGCAGAAGAGACAAGCUCUCGGAAUGUUCCAGACUUCUGACACUCGACCAGCAUCUGGUAAUGGCCGAAAAAGACCUGUACGAGAAGAAGUCAAACCAUUGAUGGCAGGAUACAGUGUUCAAAAAAACAACAACCACAGUACUGUUCUCUGCUAUGACGGUCCACUUCAAUUCACCAUGAAUUUAGAAAACCCUGACGCAACGCCACCGACUCGGCAUAUGACUUCACUUGCAAAAUCAAAAGAAAAUCCAAGAGAAGUUAUUCCACUCUCCGAGUUCCCAGCCAGCCGCUCAGAAAUCAAGAGAAGAUUAGAAAACCUAGACCUAUUACCCUCUCAAGUUGAUCUUGAUGAAGAUCAGGAGAUCAUUCCGGAUAGUUCAACUGCAUCAGUCUUGUCAAAUAGCAGUCUUCAGUAUGCUUCUCUCUUAUCUUCUUCUGAUAGCCAAGAUCUAGCUGUGAAUACUCUUUUGGCUGAAGUUGUUCCUUGUGAAGCUCUGGUUCACGAUUUCUCAGCGUUACCAAGUUCAACUAACUCGUACAGUGAUGACCAAGUUGAUGAACAUAAACCUGAACUAGGUCUAGUAGGCCUUGGUAAACUGGAAGAUCUACUAGAGAAUCUCCCUGCAUUUAUUAGUGAGCCUUGCCCCCAGGGUCUGGUUAUUCGAUGUUGUAUCACUCGUGACAAGAAAGGGAUGGAGCGAGGCUUGUUUCCCACUUAUUUUCUUCAUUUAGAAAAAGACGAUGGAAGGAAGAUUUUUUUGCUUGCUGCGCGAAAGAGGAAGAAAAGUAAAACUUCCAACUACGUGAUAUCUGUGGAUCCAACCGACUUAUCUCGAGGAGGAAAUUCUUUUGUGGGAAAGCUGAGAUCUAAUAUUUUUGGUACCUCAUUCACUGUUUUUGAUUGUGGUGAUAACCCACAAAGACGUAGACUUUUUGGUGACGAAAUAGGAAUGCACUGUGAAGUUGCUACAGUUGUUUAUGAAACAAAUGUGCUCGGAUUUAGAGGCCCACGAAAGAUGACUGUUAUCAUUCCAGCAUUGACAUUUGACCACAAGAGAGUAGAUAUUAAACCAGUUUCGGAAAGAGAUACUUUAAUUGAAAGGUGGAGAAAUGGGAAUGUGGAAAAUUUAUUAACUCUUCACAACAAAACUCCUGUGUGGAAUAACGAAACCCAGUCCUAUGUUUUAAAUUUUCAUGGGAGAGUAACUCAAGCCUCAGUGAAGAAUUUUCAGAUUGUUAAUGACAGCAAUGUGGACUACAUUGUUAUGCAGUUUGGCCGUGUUUCAGAAGAUAUCUUUAGUAUGGAUUACAGUUAUCCAAUGUGUGUACUUCAAGCUUUUGCCAUUGCUAUCUCCAGUUUUGACAGCAAACUAGCAUGUGAAUAAUUUCUAUAGUACCAGUGAGAAUAUUUAGAAAAAAAAAAGAUUGGUGGUUUUACAUUGUUCAAUCCUGCUGUAAAAUUGCAUACUGAGUGAUACUUUAGGAAUAAGAGAAAUGAAGAUAGGUGUGUUUUUGUCUAAGGCUCAUUGAUACAUCACAAGUGGACUUACGCUCACAAAAUAUGUGAAAAAUGUAAAAUAUUGUGUUUUUCAUUGACAAAAAGCUACUAGUGAAAACACCUCAUGGUAGACAGAACAAAUUGUCAACUAGAGACUGAAGAGGAUGCAAGAAUGUGUUGAAACUACUUUCUCUGAUAUAAUACUUCUGACAGUUUGUUCCUUUACUGUGGUUUUUCAUUAAUUGCCACACAGCCAGUAGGGGACCUUUCUCUCCAACCCCCAGACCACAGCCAUUUUUGAUUAUUUUAUCCCCCCCCCAUUUCUUUCCUAAAUUUACAGGCCUGCCACUAUACAUAGUUUAAAUUCAGCAUUUUUGAUUAACAUGUUUGUUUUCCUGUAUAUAACUAUAUAUUAUUAUAUAACUAUAUAUAAUAACUAAAAACUAGUUCUUUGCCUUUAACUGAAUUUUGAUUUGAAAAAUAGACAUUAUUUCUUCAUUGGUUUUGAAACUUUACUUUUGCCAACUGUUAUAAAACUAAAAUGACAAAGUUUAAUACAAUAAUGGAACAUAUGCUGUAAGUAUUUUACUGAGCAUAUAGUCAUUUUUGGUCAACAUUGAACAAGCUUUUGGUUACAAAAUAAUCUGAUUGUGUGCUAAGCUGCUGGUCAAGUAAUUUAUAUGUCAUAAUAAAUAAAGAUGGCAUUAUAUUUGAAAGGGUGGCAACCGUUCAGUCCAGAUGAUGACAGCAACUCCAACCUAGAAGUGUGGUAUCAGAAUUUAUUUCCAAGUUUAAUGGAAGAUGUUUUUGAAUACUAUAAACAUAGUGUUUAUCUGAUUUUGUAACCAUGUUUAUUACUGGUUUGUUUACAAAACUUCAAUGUUUUAUAUGCUUAAAACUGUUUCUUCUGAAAUGCCCAUAUUUGUUUAUACUUGAGAAUUAUAUCUAUAAUAAAAAUAAUAUGCUUAAUUUUGUUUAGAAAUAAUGUGUAAAAUUUGAUAAUUAGAAUUUUCUGUUGGCUUGCUGGUGGGAUCCUAAAUAUUUUUUAUAUUUUCUGUUGCUUGUAAUUUAAACUUAACUGGCUUCAAGUGAGUGUAAUAAUCAACAACACAUGUUUAAAUCAACGUUCUCUAACCACAGAAAAGCUAUUUCUCUUGAACAUAAAAAUUAGUGAAGUGUAGAAUUUCAAAUGUUUAAAAAGUAUCCUUUUCUAACUCCAUGGAAUAGACAAAACUCAAAUAUGCUAUAACCUAGUGAUGUUUAUAGCUGUGCAAUAAUUGCUGGGGUGCAAUAUUCUCUGAAGGUAUACAAAUUCAGUCUCUUAACUUGGUCACUUUUGAUGAUUUAUUUUGAACUUUUUAAGUUUCUGCCACUUCAUUUCAUUCUUAUGGUGUUUGUAAGCCAAUGUCUCUAUAUUAUUAGGAGCACAGUUUAUGUAACUCAGGUAUUUUUCCUCAAACAUAGACAACCUUAUCUACUAGUUUGUAGUACUGCUUCAAACAUUUUAGCUAUGAACUUUAUAAAAGUUUUACCUGCAAUUGCAAGGAAAUUUUAAAAUAAUUGCUCUUAGAAAAUAUGAAUAUACCCCAU
rnacentral:misc_RNA from 1 species